UACGUAGGGACCAAGCGUUGUUCGGAUUUACUGGGCGUAAAGAGCUCGUAGGCGGCUUGUCGCGUCGACUGUGAAAUCCCGCGGCUCAACUGCGGUCUGCAGUCGAUACGGGCAGGCUAGAGUUCGGUAGGGGAGACUGGAAUUCCUGGUGUAGCGGUGAAAUGCGCAGAUAUCGGGAGGAACACCCGUAGCGAAGGCGGCACUCUGGGCCGGUACUGACGCUGAGGAGCGAAAGCGUGGGGAGCAACAGGGAUUAA
rnacentral:rRNA from 1 species